AGUGAACGCUGGCGGCGUGCUUAACACAUGCAAGUCGAACGAGAACGGAUUAUAGCUUGCUAUAAUUGUCAGCUAAGUGGCGCACGGGUGAGUAAUGUAUAGGUAAUAUGCCUCUUACUAAGGGAUAACAAAUGGAAACGUUUGCUAGUACCUUAUACUCCUUAUUAACAGAAGUUAAUAAGGGAAAGAUUUAUUGGUAAGAGAUUAGCCUGUAUUGUAUCAGUUAGUUGGUGGGGUGAUGGCUUACCAAGACUAUGACACAUAACUGGUUUGAGAGGAUGAUCAGUCACACUGGAACUGAGACACGGUCCAGACUCCUACGGGAGGCAGCAGUGGGGAAUAUUGCACAAUGGACGAAAGUCUGAUGCAGCAACGCCGCGUGGAGGAUGACACAUUUCGGUGCGUAAACUCCUUUUAUAUGAGAAGAUAAUGACGGUAUUAUAUGAAUAAGCACCGGCUAACUCCGUGCCAGCAGCCGCAGUAAAAC
rnacentral:rRNA from 1 species